rnacentral:rRNA from 1 species
AUCGAACGCUGGCGGCAUGCCUAACACAUGCUAGUCGAACGAGACUUUCGGGUCUAGUGGCGUACGGGUGUGUAACGCGUGGGAACCUGCUCUUCGGUUCGGAAUAACUCCCCGAAAGGGGUGCCAAUACCGGAUAACGUCUUCGGACCAAAGAUUUAUCGCCUUUGGUUGGGCCCGCGUUGGAUUAGCUAGUUGGUAGGGUAAAAGCCUACCAAGGCGACGAUCCAUAGCUGGUCUGAGAGGAUGAUCAGCCACAGUGGAACUGAGACACGGCCCAGACUCCUACGGGAGGCAGCAAUGUGGGAUAUUGGACAAUGGUCGAAAGCCUGAUCCAGCAAUGCCGCGUGAGUGAUGAAGGCCUUAGGGUUGUAAAGCUCUUUUACCCGGGAUGAUAAUGACAGUACCGGGAGAAUGAGCUCCGGCUAACUCCGUG